GACGAACGCUGGCGGCGUGCUUAAUACAUGCAAGUCGAACGAUUAAAGCUCACUUCGGUGAGUGUAUAAAGUGGCGAACGGGUGAGUAACGCGUAAGAAACCUUCCCAUGAGAGAGGGAUACCUAUCGGAAACAGUAGUUAAUACCUCAUAUCUCGUUUAAAGGCAUCUUUGAACGACUAAAGAUUUAUUGCUCAUGGAUGGUCUUGCGUCUGAUUAGCUAGUUGGUGAGGUAAUGGCUCACCAAGGCGACGAUCAGUAGCUGGUCUGAGAGGAUGAUCAGCCACAUUGGGACUGAGAUACGGCCCAG
rnacentral:rRNA from 1 species